AUGUAUCUACUUAUUGUCUUUUUGCCUUUGCUCGGUAGUUUCGUAGCCGGUUUUUUCGGACGUUUUCUAGGAUCUGAAGGAACCGCUAUAAUGACCACCACAUGCGUUUCAUUUUCUUCGAUCUUAUCUUUGAUUGCUUUUUAUGAAGUCGCACUGGGAGCUAGUGCUUGCUAUCUCAGAAUAGCUCCAUGGAUCUCAUCAGAAAUGUUUGAUGCUUCUUGGGGCUUCUUUGGCGACCGUGAAGGAGGCUGGCCUACACGCCAUACCUAUACCCAUACAGUGCCAGGCAGGCAGUGGACUCAUUUUGGAUUAGGGAAGGGAAGAAGGGGCCUAAGCACGGUAGAUGCCGUACACUUGAGUGGCAAAGGAAAGCGAGAUUGUACUUCUUUUGCCAGGCCUGUUCUUACAUAA
rnacentral:rRNA from 1 species